rnacentral:rRNA from 1 species
UACAGAGGGUGCAAGCGCUGUUCGGAAUUAUUGGGCGUAAAGCGCGUGUAGGCGGCUUUGCAAGUCGGGUGUGAAAGCCCUCGGCUCAACCGAGGAAGUGCGCCCGAAACUGCAGAGCUUGAGUACCGGAGAGGAUGGCGGAAUUCCCCAAGUAGAGGUGAAAUUCGUAGAUAUGGGGAGGAACACCGGUGGCGAAGGCGGCCAUCUGGACGGAUACUGACGCUGAGACGCGAAAGCGUGGGGAGCAAACAGG